UACGUAGGUGGCAAGCGUUGUCCGGAUUUACUGGGCGUAAAGAGCGCGCAGGCGGUCGUUCAAGUCGCGUGUGAAAGCCCCCGGCUCAACUGGGGAGGGUCACGCGAUACUGAUCGACUCGAAGGCAGGAGAGGGUAGUGGAAUUCCCGGUGUAGUGGUGAAAUGCGCAGAUAUCAGGAAGAACACCAAUGGCGAAAGCAGCUCUCUGGGACGGUACUGACGCUGAGACGCGAAAGCGUGGGAGCGAACAGG
rnacentral:rRNA from 1 species